CCUACGGGAGGCAGCAGUGGGGAAUAUUGCACAAUGGCGGAAACCCUGAUGCAGCGACGCCGCGUGAGUGACGAAGUACCUCGGGACGUAAAGCUCUAUCAGCAGGGAAGAAAAUGACUGUACCUUACUAAGAAGCCCCGGCCAACUACGUGCCAGCAGCCGAGGUAAUACGGAGGGGGCAAGCUUUAUCCGGAUUUACUGGGUGUAAGGGGAGCGUAGACGGAAGCAAAGGUCUGGAGGGAAAUCCCGGGUCUUAACCGCGGAACUGCUUUGGAAACUGUGCGGCUGGAGUGCAGGAGGGGUAAGCGGAAUUCGUGGUGUAGCGGUGAAAUGCGUAGAUAUUAGGAAGAACACCGAUUGCGAAGGCAGCUCACUGGACUGUAACUGACGUUGAGGCUCGAAAGCGUGGGGAGCAAACAGGAUUAGAUACCCCGGUAGUC
rnacentral:rRNA from 1 species